rnacentral:rRNA from 1 species
GAGCACGUAGGUGGGUUUGUAAGUCAGAUGUGAAAGCUUUCUGUUCAACGGAAGAAUUGCAUCUGAAACUGCGAGUCUUGAGUGUAGGAGGGGAGAAUGGAACUUCUGGUGGAGCGGUGAAAUGCGUAGAUAUCAGAAGGAACGCCGGCGGCGAAAGCGAUUCUCUGGCCUAUUACUGACACUCAGUGUGCGAAAGCUAGGGGAGCAAACGGGAUUAGAUACCCCGGUAGUCCUAGCCGUAAACGAUGGGCACUAAGUAGAGGGAAUUACCGAUGUUCUCUCUGCCGUAGCUAACGCAUUAAGUGCCCCGCCUGGGGAGUACGGCCGCAAGGCUAAAACUCAAAAGAAUUGACGGGGGCUCGCACAAGCGGUGGAGCAUGUGGCUUAAUUCGAUGCAACGCGAAAAACCUUACCGGGGCUUGACAUGGUAGAAGUAGGAACCCGAAAGGGUAACGAACGGUAUCCAGUCCGUAGCUAUUACAGGUGUUGCAUGGCUGUCGUCAGCUCGUGUCGUGAGACGUUGGGUUAAGUCCCCUAACGAGCGAAACCCUUAUUUUUAGUUACCAGUGGGUUAUGCCAGGUACUCUAGAAAGACUGCCGUCGUCAAGACGGAGGAAGGUGGGGAUGACGUCAAGUCAUCAUGGCCCUUAUGCCCCGGGCUGCACACGUGCUACAAUGGUCGGUACAAACGGAUGCGAAGCCGAGAGGUGAAGCGAAUCC